rnacentral:rRNA from 1 species
GCACCGGAACACGUCAAAACUCCGAAAUUAAGCGUGCUUGGACGAGAGCUGUACUAGGAUGGGUGAUUCCCUGAGAAUUCCUCAUGUUGCAUCCCUC